rnacentral:lncRNA from 1 species
UUUAUUACACAGUAGUGCCUGAAGGUCUUGAGUUGAGUCCCUCAUACUUACACUGUGAGAACUUCUGCUUCCUAAAGAUAUUGCACUCUGAAAAGACAAGAUAGCCAGCAGCCACAACUGCCAUUACUUCUGCCCACAAGGGAGAGAGCAGUGAUGAAGGCACACAGAAAGGGUAGCUCUGCCUGAAGUGCAAGGCUGCAGACUGGUCCGAUAACAUAACGUCAUGGACUCUGUACCCACCAGACUGCCCCAAGUGAAUCUGAACAACUGCACAUGGAAAUCCCUCAUUUUGGAUGAUUUACCAACUCAGGAUCUCAAAGGCAAUAACUUCAAGCUGUCUUAAGAAGCAAUGAAAUCCAGUGGACAGUGGAGCAGGAUGUCUAUGAAGAGCAUGAGCCUCAUUUACGAUUGCUUGCAUGUUUGGUGCAAAGGAUCAGCAUGGACUCAGCUAGACAGGAUGGAUGCAGAAUGGUGCAGAGAAGAAACAGAUGGGCAACCAGCAAAGCAGCAGUGGGACAAACUUUCUAGAUCUGUUCUCACCUUUUUCUGUGGAGGCCAGAUAUUGCACCUAGAGAGAAGAAAAAUCCAGGAGACAACUGGUACACUUCAAGAAGUUCAAUGAAUUUGAUUAAUAACGGACAUGACUUGAAGAAUUAAUAAAAUGAUAAUCUGUCUGCCUCUGUGCA